GCUACUAUCUAGAUCUACUCUAGUUUAGAGAAGAGAGGAGAGCUCUCAUCUCUAAACCCUAGCUUUUGCUCUGUCUAUGAAUAAUGAAUAAUGAUCAAGGGGUGCCUCCUCCAGGGGCCACGGGGUCUGGUUAUAUAGUCCCCUCAAGUGAACCUGGGCCGUCGGAUCAAACCGACAUUGAUUGAACGGUUAUUCUUGAUCCUUUAGGUCGGUGGAGAUCUCCCGAGAGAAAGAGUCC
rnacentral:lncRNA from 1 species